AGGAUAAGGAUAAGGAAGGCGGUUAGCACAUCCCUUUACAAGGAUGAAACACAAUAAAAUGGUGAAGGCAAUAUUUUACCACAUUUUUCA